rnacentral:rRNA from 1 species
ACCCUUUAAUGUUUGAUGUUCUAACGUGGACCCGUUACCCGGGUUGCGGACAGUGUCUGGUGGGUAGUUUGACUGGGGCGGUCUCCUCCUAAAGAGUAACGGAGGAGCACGAAGGUUGGCUAAUCCUGGUCGGACAUCAGGAGGUUAGUGCAAUGGCAUAAGCCAGCUUGACUGCGAGCGUGACGGCGCGAGCAGGUGCGAAAGCAGGUCAUAGUGAUCCGGUGGUUCUGAAUGGAAGGGCCAUCGCUCAACGGAUAAAAGGUACUCCGGGGAUAACAGGCUGAUACCGCCCAAGAGUUCAUAUCGACGGCGGUGUUUGGCACCUCGAUGUCGGCUCAUCACAUCCUGGGGCUGAAGUAGGUCCCAAGGGUAUGGCUGUUCGCCAUUUAAAGUGGUACGCGAGCUGGGUUUAGAACGUCGUGAGACAGUUCGGUCCCUAUCUGCCGUGGGCGCUGGAGAACUGAGGGGGGCUGCUCCUAGUACGAGAGGACCGGAGUGGACGCAUCACUGGUGUUCGGGUUGUCAUGCCAAUGGCACUGCCCGGUAGCUAAAUGCGGAAGAGAUAAGUGCUGAAAGCAUCUAAGCACGAAACUUGCCCCGAGAUGAGUUCUCCCUGAGACUUAGAGUCUCCUGAAGGAACGUUGAAGACGACGACGUUGAUAGGCCGGGUGUGUAAGCGCAGCGAUGCGUUGA